GACGGAGGGUGCAAGCGUUGUUCGGAAUUACUGGGCGUAAAGCGCUCGUAGGCGGCCAACUAAGUCAGACGUGAAAUCCCCAGGCUCAACCUGGGAACUGCGUCUGAUACUGGAUGGCUUGAGUUCGGGAGAGGGAUGCGGAAUUCCAGGUGUAGCGGUGAAAUGCGUAGAUAUCUGGAGGAACACCGGUGGCGAAGGCGGCAUCCUGGACCGACACUGACACUGAGGAGCGAAAGCCAGGGGAGCAAACGGG
rnacentral:rRNA from 1 species